ACGGGAGGCAGCAGUGAGGAAUAUUGGUCAAUGGGCGAGAGCCUGAACCAGCCAAGUCGCGUGAAGGAUGAAGGUUCUAUGGAUUGUAAACUUCUUUUGUUCGAGGGUAAAGUGAGGGAUGCGUCUCUUAUUGCAAGUAUCGAACGAAUAAGCAUCGGCUAACUCCGUGCCAGCAGCCGCGGUAAUACGGAGGAUGCGAGCGUUAUCCGGAUUUAUUGGGUUUAAAGGGUGCGUAGGCGGGAUGUUAAGUCAGCGGUGAAAGCGUGUAGCUCAACUAUACCAAGCCGUUGAAACUGGCGUUCUUGAGUGUAAACGAGGUAGGCGGAAUGUGACGUGUAGCGGUGAAAUGCUUAGAUAUGUCACAGAACCCCGAUUGCGAAGGCAGCUGACUAAUCCGCAACUGACGCUCAGGCACGAAAGCGUGGGGAUCGAACAGGAUUAGAUACCCUGGUA
rnacentral:rRNA from 1 species